GCCGGAGUGGCGGAACUGGUAGACGCAGGGGACUUAAAAUCCCCCGAGCCAACGCUCAUCCGAGUUCGAGUCUCGGCUCCGGCACCA
rnacentral:tRNA from 1 species